rnacentral:rRNA from 1 species
UACGUAGGGGGCAAGCGUUGUCCGGAAUUAUUGGGCGUAAAGAGCGCGUAGGCGGUCCGAUAAGUCGGCUGUGAAAGUCAAGGGCUCAACCCUUGAAAGCCGGCCGAUACUGUCGGACUAGAGUCCGGAAGAGGCGAGUGGAAUUCCCGGUGUAGCGGUGAAAUGCGUAGAUAUCUGGAGGAACACCGGUGGCGAAAGCGCGAGACUGGGCCGUAACUGACGCUGAGGAACGAAAGCCAGGGGAGCGAAAGGG